GGCCACAGUAAGAGUAUUUAUGCCAUAAAUAUUUUAAAAAUGCUACAAAUUAGGCUUUUUCAUUUUGUGAUGAGAGCUAGUUGUUAAAUAAACAUUUACCAGCACAUCAUUAUACCAAACUGUAUAAUAAUAUAAAGAGGAAAAAAUAGAGCAGGUGAACAGAAAAAUGGACCAAAAAAUAAAAAAAGGUUAGAAAAAAAAGAACUAUAAAAGGUUAAUGAAAUAGAGAUUGAUAAACUAAUGUCAAUUAACUUUUUUCUUAAUAACAGAAACUGUGUUGUUUGGGACAGUGAUGGCACCAGCUGGAUAUGAUUCUCAGGUUCCCUUGAAAUUAGGGAUGGCCUUAUGAUAGUUCUUGUCCAUCAGGCAUAAGCAGAAAUGUUGGCCAUUUGGGAAAAGCUUCAGUUUUAUCAGAUAUACAUUCAUACUUUGAGGCGGCUGGCAAGAUGGCGGAAUAGAAACAGCUUCGGUCUGCAGCUCCCAGCGAGAUCAACCCAGAAGGCGGGUGAUUUCUGCAUUUCCAACUGAGGUACUUGCUUUGUUCUUGAGAGUUUGAAGCUUACAUUGUCUAAAAAGUUGGGAUUCAAAGUGACAGUUGAUCCUGACUCACACGUCAAAAUAAUUCAAGAGAUUUCCUUAAGCUCUAUCGUGCUUUAAAAUCAACAUGCCUGGGAAUGUAAAUUAGUAUCGUCAUUAGAGAAAAC
ensembl:lncRNA novel transcript